AGAGUAACGAGAGAGACAGACAGCAGGCGCGCAGAGUAACGAGAGAGACAGACAGCAGGCGCGCAGAGUAACGAGAGAGACAGACAGCAGGCACGCAGAGUAACGAGAGAGACAGACAGCAGGCACGCAGAGUAACGAGAGAGAGACAGACAGCAGGCACGCAGAGUAACGAGAGAGAGAGAGAGACAGCAGGCGCGCAGAGUAACGAGAGAGACAGACAGCAGGCACGCAGAGACAGACAGCAGGCACGCAGAGUAACGAGAGAGACAGACAGCAGGCACGCAGAGUAACGAGAGAGACAGACAGCAGGCACGCAGAGUAACGAGAGAGACAGACAGCAGGCACGCAGAGUAACGAGAGAGACAGACAGCAGGCACGCAGAGUAACGAGAGAGAGACAGACAGCAGGCACGCAGAGUAACGAGAGAG